AUAUUUCCUGACCUUGUAACCAUAGCAACCACUUGCUGAUUGGUAGCAGGCAGCCUUUCCAUCCUUUACCACUGAAGGCAAGGAUCACAUGAGGCCAUGUCUGAUGUUCAUGAGAGUGAUGCACAUUCCUGUUGAACUGUAGUUCAUGGAAUUCACUCUCCGUGAUGAUGAAGAUGAUCAGUAAAAGCAAAAUGGGUCAUAACUCUUCUGCUGGCAAGGAAAGAAAUGGGGGAAAACAAUGGAAAUUACUGAUGAAUGCUACUUUGCCAUUAAUUUAAAAUUAUCUUAAAUCAAGAUGGGUUGAACAUGAAAAGCAAAGCAUCUCAGUCUGUUUGGGCAAGACAGUGCAAAGCAGCAAUAACCCUCAGAGUGUUUGUAAAAGGUUGAAACAAGGCUCCAGCCCAUCCUCCUGUCUCCAGAAGUGACCCACAGCACCAGGCUGCUGCAGUAAAGAUAUAGUCAUGUUCUCCUAGAACAUGUUCACAAGCUCGAGAGACAUGCAGCAUAGAAAAUGUCAAUGUGUUCUCUCUCUCUGGGAUAAGUUAUAGGUCU